GGGUGAUGAGAGCUAGUCUCAAGUACUCACAACCUCCCCCCUCCAAUCGGUGUAGUGGGGUAUUCAGUUAUUCUACUACUCCUUUGGUCGUUUACUGUGAGAAAAUUAGAGUGUUCAAAGCGGGCGUUUGUUUGAAUAGAUUAGCAUGGAAUAAUGAUUGAAGGCUUUCGUGUUCGAUUUGAUUGGUUUGUUCAUGGAAGCAAGGUUAAAAGGAACAGUUGGGGGUAUUCAUAUUCACUAGUUAGAGGUGAAAUUCUCGGAUUUAUGGAAGAUGAACAGGUGCGAAAGCAUUUACCAAGGAUGUUUUCAUUAAUCAAGAACGAAAGCUAGGGGAUCGAAGAGGAUUAGAUACCCUCGUAGUCUUAGCUAUAAACGAUACCGACUAGGGGUUAGUAGAGGUCAAUGUGUCUCUAUUAGUACCUUAUGAGAAAUCAAAGUCUUUGGGUUCCGGGGGGGAGUAUGGUCGCAAGGCUGAAACUUAAAGGAAUUGACGGAAGGGCACCACCAGGAGUGGAGCCUGCGGCUUAAUUUGACUCAACACGGGGAAACUUUACCAGGGUCCAGACAUAGAAGGGGAUUUGAAA
rnacentral:rRNA from 1 species